CACAGAUUGGAGCAGGGGGAUAGGCUUCGGCAACUUGGGGGAGGAGUGUCUGAGGUGGCGGCAGCGCCCCUUCGGAGGAUCAGAGCACCUGUGCCGUGGCCUGCCCAGGUCUGGGAGGGGAGGGUGGGUUUCUCAGCUGCUCUGGUUUAUAUCCACACACGGAUGGGGCCUGGUGCAAAGUCUCAGUACAGACCGUUUCUAGGGCAAGGUCUAGGGCAGGUGUCUAAGGGACCUGAAAAAUGGGAGCCUGAAGUCCCAGGAGCGCCCAGUGCAUCCUGCUGCUCACUGCUCUCCAGCCCAUUAGACUCACAGGCCAGAUCAGGCCAUUCCCCACAGCACAGCUAAAUGCCAAGCAGCCUGUCUUCUGCCUGAAGCUCGUUUCCUGUGACAUCAGUCACGCUGUGAGCUGGGAGUCCAAAGGACACAGGUGUCGUGCCUUUCCGACUUUCUUCCUCCCUGCCCCCGGCCAUCCUCCAGACAUGAUCGAUUGAGGGGCAGCGGUAUGCCAGGCAGUGUGGCAGGCACUGAGGAUUUUGGGGGCCCAAGUCAAGCAGAAGGGUCCCUGCCCUCCUGGAGCUUACGAUCUAGUUGAGGACAAAUAUGUAGCUGGAAGAUGGUGAAGGCCUUUGAGAAAAUCACAGCAGCAACUCCAACAAAUGUAGAAAGUGAAGAGAAAACCUCUCUGGCCCUAGAGGUGAGUAAGCCCCUUUUUGGGACUUUUCCAGAUCCAUCUGCAUGGGAAGGCUGCCUUGGGAAGGUGUGGGGGGCGGGGGUGAGUUCUGUGCAAAAGGAAGAAAGAAAAGUGGGCCCUUCUCUAUGGAUUUUUACUUGGAAGCUUCCUUGUUUGCCAGGCCCCCAGAUGCUGAUUUUUAAGAAUUUAGGGAAGUGGCUUGGGCAGAAGCACUCACAGCUGGAGGAGAGUGCACGGUAUCCAAACUGAGCGUAGAAGAUGGUAUCUGAGCGGCCUGCCAAUCCUGCACCCACCUUCAAGAUGCCUGGACAUUCUCCUGAGGGCAGCUUCUCAGGAACCUCCUCAGGGAAGUGCUUAGAUGGGGCAGAGAGAGCAGUGAGCUGGGAGUGAAGACACAUCUGACUCCUCCACAAACUACCACAGGUGAAUUACCCCCCUUUCUGACCCAUCCAUUGAAUCAUUUAGUGGACAUGAACCUUGUUCAUCUCUAAAAUUCCACAAUUCCUCAGAGAAGAAAGAGCAUCUUCACAUGGGUGGCCUGAAGAGUCCACGGCCUGGCAGAUCUAGCUCUUAAAGACAUCCUCUCCUCUUCUUAGAAAGAAGAAAAAGUCCGACCAGCAGGUAAAAACCACCACUGACACCCCCAGAAACCCCAUCUUAUUACCAGUAAACCCCCCAUUCCCGGGUCUCCUGAUGCACUUGGGUCUUGGAAAGGGCUGGGUGUCUCAUGACAAAGGUGCUACUUCAAAGUCAAAUUAGGACCAUCCAGUGGCCCUAUUGAAUGGCCAAGGGGCUGAAUGUGAAACCAGAAUUGGGUGGGGAAUGCUGAAAUUCUGAGGGCUGCUCUUGCCCCAGUACCCCAUGCCCUAAGUUUGAAUAAAAACAAGACACACAAGUGAUUAUUUACCA
rnacentral:lncRNA from 13 species